CAAUGGCCCUGACAGCCCUGGCAACCAGCACUGCCCACCCUGCCAGUGCUGCCUCCUGCCUCCCCCCCCAGACAGCCCCACAUUCCGGGGUCCCCACCGGGGAGAGAACCUCACAGGGAGGAUGUUUCUGCAAAGCUUCAGGUGCCCCAGAGGAUAAGCAGGAAUCUUCAGGGCUCAGCCACAGGUGGCUGAAACACCAGAAGCCCCCGGCAAAGACCACACGAGACCCAAGGGAAUGGAGAAGACCAAAGCAAAGCAGGAGCUCUCCAGCACACAGCCCAGCCCAAAAAACAAGCCCUCUGCAGCACACCAGCAGCAGGACCAGCCUUUGGCCAGUCGCUUCGUUCCGGUUGUUGUCCACACUGGGGGACGUCCCCUCAGCUCCUUCAACUUUGUCUUCUACCGACGGACACUCUCCAACUCGUACUGCCCCUUCUACACCGUGCAGAGGCCCUACUGUGGGUACCAGUUCCGAGAGGACAACACCCAUGGCAAGAUAAAAACGGACCUGGAACCUGCCGACGUUCGCAAAUGGAGACCCUUCCAUAGCAAAAAACUCUAGCUGGGACCAGGGAAGCCCAAACAAUAAAGCCCAAGUAAUAAAGCCCAAGCA